rnacentral:rRNA from 1 species
GGUGCGGCGGGGGUCCAAAUUCCUUGGAACAGGGUGUCAUAGAGGGUGAGAACCCCGUAAAUGACCAACCGCCAACCCCAUGUGAAGCCCUUUCGACGAGUCGAGUUGUUUGGGAAUGCAGCUCUAAAUGGGUGGUAAAUUUCAUCUAAGGCUAAAUACCUGCCAGAGACCGAUAGCGCACAAGUAGAGUGAUCGAAAGAUGAAAAGCACUUUGAAAAGAGAGUCAAACAGUACGUGAAAUUGUUAAAAGGGAAGCGCUUGCAACCAGACUCGCUCGCGGGUGUUCAGCCGUCCCCCGGGACGGUGCAUUCUCCCGCGAUCGGGCCAGCAUCGGUUUUGGCGGCCGGACAAAGGCCCUGGGAACGUAGCUCUCUUCGGGGAGUGUUAUAGCCCGGGGUGCAAUGCGGCCCGCCGGGACCGAGGACCGCGCUUUUGCUAGGAUGCUGGCUUAAUGGUUGCCAGCGACCCGUCUUGAAACACGGACCAAGGAGUCGACCUACCGCGCGAGUGUUUGGGCGUUAAACCCAUGCGCGUAAUGAAAGUGAACGGAGGUGGGAGCCUUCGCGGGUGCACCAUCGACCGAUCCUGAUGUCUUCGGAUGGAUUUGAGUAUGAGCGCCGUGGGUCGGACCCGAAAGAUGGUGAACUAUACGUGAAUAGGGUGAAGCCAGAGGAAACUCUGGUGGAGGCUCGCAGCGGUUCUGACGUGCAAAUCGAUCGUCAAAUUUGCGUAUAGGGGCGAAAGACUAAUCGAACUAUCUAGUAGCUGGUUCCUGUCGAAGUUUCCCUCAGGAUAGCAGUAACGAAAACAGUCUCAUGAGGUAGAGCAACGAUUAGAGGCCUUGGGGUUGAAACAACCUUAACCUAUUGUCGAACUUCGAAUAUGUGAGAAGUCCUUGUUGCUUA